GAGGAUGUAGCUUAGUUGGUAGAGUGCUUGCUUAGCAUGCACGAGGCUCUGGGUUCAGUCCCCAGCACCCCA
rnacentral:tRNA from 1 species